GGUCAGACCACAUGUCUAAGACCGGAUUCAGUGAAUAGCAUUGUUUGUGAUGGGUUUGUAUUGUAAACGCAUCUAAGAAUGUUUUUCUCCAGGGUUGACCAAUUCCAUGAAGGUACCCCAAACUGCUGCUGUGAAAGGGAUUUUACAGUAAGUUUCAAUAUUGUAUAUCUGGUCUUCACACCUCAACUGCUUGCUCUGGAGAAAAUACUGCAUUUCCUUAGAGUGUGGUGCACUUCCCCCACCCUUCAAACCUAAAAUAGAGAUCUUUACUAUGAAAGUAAAACUGGGAAUAGGUUCCUUAUACCCACCUCCAGUCUCUAAAGAAAGAAUACGUUUUAAAUUAAUUGCUCAUAAUAGAUCCUUCAGUACUUGUUGAAUGAAAGUUUGGUUUCCUAGUUAGCAGGCCAAUGAAAGUAGACCCUGAAAGGGGACCACAGGUUCUCUCCUCAUAACUAUAUUUUCAAGUAGCUCAUUCUUAACCUCUGACGUGUGACUUCAGCAUUGAAAGGCUGGCUAACCGUGGGAGGUCAGCUUUCACUUAAGUACAGCAUUUCUUCCAGAGAGCACCCGGUGCCUUGUGUAAAAGAUCUCUACCGCAUUUGUGGGAAGUAGCAGGAAGGAAGCCGGCUUCUGAGUCCUGAAGGCUGGCUUCCCAGCUUGGUAGCUGUGUGACCUUUGGCUAAUCAACUUCUCUGAAGAACCUAACGUGGCUUCCAUUACAGAUGGUUGUGUGAAUCAGGUGGGAUACAGUGCAUUUCAGAGUGUGAAAGUGUUGUGCAAACCAACGGUACUUGGUCUGGAAGACCUUUCAGAGUUGGCCUAGGCCACUUUUAUCCGUUUGUAGAACUUUACCAACUCUCUAUGUUCCUUUGUGAUUUUGUGGCCUUUG
rnacentral:lncRNA from 1 species